UGCCCUACACAAGAGGACAACAGUUGGAAACGACUGCUAAUACUCUAUACUCCUGCUUAACACAAGUUGAGUAGGGAAAGUUUUUCGGUGUAGGAUGAGACUAUAUAGUAUCAGCUAGUUGGUAAGGUAAUGGCUUACCAAGGCUAUGACGCUUAACUGGUCUGAGAGGAUGAUCAGUCACACUGGAACUGAGACACGGUCCAGACUCCUACGGGAGGCAGCAGUAGGGAAUAUUGCGCAAUGGGGGAAACCCUGACGCAGCAACGCCGCGUGGAGGAUGACACUUUUCGGAGCGUAAACUCCUUUUCUUAGGGAAGAAUUCUGACGGUACCUAAGGAAUAAGCACCGGCUAACUCCGUGCCAGCAGCCGCGGUAAUACGGAGGGUGCAAGCGUUACUCGGAAUCACUGGGCGUAAAGGGCGCGUAGGCGGAUUAUCAAGUCUCUUGUGAAAUCUAAUGGCUUAACCAUUAAACUGCUUGGGAAACUGAUAGUCUAGAGUGAGGGAGAGGCAGAUGGAAUUGGUGGUGUAGGGGUAAAAUCCGUAGAUAUCACCAAGAAUACCCAUUGCGAAGGCGAUCUGCUGGAACUCAACUGACGCUAAGGCGCGAAAGCGUGGGGAGCAAACAGGAUUAGAUACCCUGGUAGUCCACGCCCUAAACGAUGUACACUAGUUGUUGGGGUGCUAGUCAUCUCAGUAAUGCAGCUAACGCAUUAAGUGUACCGCCUGGGGAGUACGGUCGCAAGAUUAAAACUCAAAGGAAUAGACGGGGACCCGCACAAGCGGUGGAGCAUGUGGUUUAAUUCGAAGAUACGCGAAGAACCUUACCUGGGCUUGAUAUCCUAAGAACCUUUUAGAGAUAAGAGGGUGCUAGCUUGCUAGAACUUAGAGACAGGUGCUGCACGGCUGUCGUCAGCUCGUGUCGUGAGAUGUUGGGUUAAGUCCCGCAACGAGCGCAACCCACGUAUUUAGUUGCUAACGGUUCGGCCGAGCACUCUAAAUAGACUGCCUUCGUAAGGAGGAGGAAGGUGUGGACGACGUCAAGUCAUCAUGGCCCUUAUGCCCAGGGCGACACACGUGCUACAAUGGCAUAUACAAUGAGACGCAAUACCGCGAGGUGGAGCAAAUCUAUAAAAUAUGUCCCAGUUCGGAUUGUUCUCUGCAACUCGAGAGCAUGAAGCCGGAAUCGCUAGUAAUCGUAGAUCAGCCAUGCUACGGUGAAUACGUUCCCGGGUCUUGUACUCACCGCCCGUCACACCAUGGGAGUUGAUUUCACUCGAAGCCGGAAUACUAAACUAGUUACCGUCCACAGUGGAAUCAGCGACUGGGGUGAAGUCGUAACAAGGUAACCGUAGGAGAACCUGCGGUUGGAUCACCUCCUUUCUA
rnacentral:rRNA from 1 species